UGGCGUGCCACCGUCAUCCCCGACUCUCUCUCUCUCUCUCUCCCUCUCUCUCCCUCUCUCUCCCUCUCUCUUCCUCUCGAUAGGGCAGAGCGCGCUGCUCCAGAAGGGGAAGAGGCUCCCGAAGGAAGAGGCGGACGGCGGAUGUAGCGCUGGCGCGGGCGUAUAUUCUCGAUUUGGGCGGAUGGAAAUCUGAGAUUGCUCCAUAUCGGGCGGUGCGCCGUGGUACGCGAGGUGCUCCGUAAUAGCGUGGCUGUUCGCCGCGACUGCACGAUGCGACCGCGACGUUAUAUUUAAAGCUCGAACGAAAAGCGUAGCUAGAAGGAAGGCGUGUAACGCGUUCGUGAAGACGCGGCGUGUUUCUUGUACUUCGUAUGAUCCUGGGUCGUAUGGGAGUCAGAUUCCCUUUCAAUUCGUCGUUAGAGCCUAAAGUAUCGCUUAUGCCUGAUCACGUGUCAGGAUCCGACUCGGUUACACUCUGCGAGCGUCAGGAUCCCGAUAAACAUACCCCCAGGUCAAUUCCUGUUAGCUGUCACGCGUCGUCACGUCGACACGUUACCUGUAAUCGGCUAACGUCACUCCAUAGGACGUACGUGUCGCGAUAAAACUCGAGGCUCGAACUCGCCGAGUCGAAAGUAGUUGUUGACAUAUCGCUGCCAGGUAUUGGGACAUGCCAAGUGGGCGGGUAGGUUUAACCUAUAAGGAAUAUAAUGUGAGUACGCCUCCACGUUCCGGCACAUAUGCACGAGCAGGAUCGGCGAUUUUACCUAGGAGGAGAGAACACGACGGCUUCGAAGGGGACGGCUGCUCUCCGUACAAAGAGAACUUCGUAUCAGCGAUAGACAGACUGGGAGAGGAAUAGAAGAUGAGAGAGACGAGAGAUGAAUCCAGCAACCGGCAAAGCGAAAUAUCCGGGUAGCACACACUGAUGUUUUCAUACAACCGAUCGGCCAAGCUCGUACGACCACGUGGGUGUCGCUUUUGGCCAGGAAUUAGUCGGCCAUUGCUGAAGAGACCCUGACCGCCCCUCUCGUCUCAUUCGUUGCUUACCGGAAACCGGUAACACCGAUUCAAGAUCUUUUUACCUUCAAUCAAAUCUUUAUUCGCUAUAGACGUCGCGACCGUUAGCUUCCAUUACUUUUUCAUUGCGUAUCUGUAUGUUUAUAUACCGCUUGGCGCAUGCACGUAUGUAAUGCAUCCACCUAUACCGGAUGCAUAUCGAUCUCGGAACAUGUAAUUCGCGAUCGUGAUUGGCAGCUUUCCCAUUGCGUUCGCAUUGCCACUCCUACCAGCUAUCACCUGCCGUUCUCUCCUCUCUCUCUACUCUGAUGACUGAACUCCAUCUCUUGGACGCUAUUAGGAACAUCAUCAUCAUCAUCAUCGUCUUCCUCCUCGUCCACAUCAAUGUCCAUCGCUCAUCCAUCUGUCCAUCAGUCGGACCCACUGUGGAGAUUACGUAGCCAUAGGAUCUUUUUGGCGAGUCAACGUCUUACGUAACUUCGGAUAAUUUGCAGGGUUAACAUCACAAAGAGUGACUGCAAUGUAAAAAUAAACUUUCGAAGCUUACUAUUAAUACAAUAAGCCGCCACGGAGAAAGGAACGUGGCGCUAAUGUCGCUGUCGCUGGAUACUUUACUGAGACUUUUUAACGGGGAGCUUUCAUGGUGAAAGCGUUUCCUGUAUGGACGAUCGAGACGAUUGCUGACUUUUACGCUUUAUCGGACACCUCUUGGAUCGUCGAUCGUUGUCAUUGGAUAUUUUAGAAAAAUCACGUGCACGUUCAAAUCUAAACUUUAGAUCCGCAAUAAGGCUCAGCGUAUUUACACAUUUUAUAGCGAAGGCCUGCGCUAGAUUUUAUAUUUAGGACGGCACCACGUAACCCUAGAACUACUGAAUUAGGUUAGAACCAAAAUAACGACACCCACGCGUCGCGACGCAUUCGUCCCUGCACGUUUUCUGUUUAUCGAUAGCGCUGACCACCUACGACCCAAAGGAACCCUUUGGAUCGGUCGAUCUUUUUGCUCGCUGUGGAUCAUCUUGAUCUUUCUCAAGAGUCAGCAGGGGUACCAAGGAAGAGAUCUAAGUAUCUCACUGACGCCUCCUUGAUCUAUCCGAGCUCGGGAUCUGAUCGCGACGACAUUAGAAAAGUGAUCCAGACAAGAUAAAAAAAUGAUCUAAGCACGAGCAACGCUGUUCACGGUGCUACACAGUCACUCCUAAGAAAUUACAGCCUCUCUCCGAAUUAACAAGCAGUCUGACUUAUAGAGCUUGGCGAGGAGUACCACAGUAAUAUGCCAGGGGCGAGGAUCUCUACCAGGUACCAAGAAAGCCAUCAGCAGUUCACAAUACCUUCGUUAUUUGGUAGCUCAUUCAAAAUGCAUUAGAUCAUUGAUCAAUGGGUGAAAAUUUAAUGGAACGAUGCAGAACCCGCUGUCACGAGUACCCAGUGGUCAGGAUGAUCGUCGCGAUGAGGAUCAGCUUCUGGAUUCCACGGUAGUUCUUACUCCGAAUGUCGAAGUGAGAAAAGAGAAACGCCGAGCAAGCUCAGACGCCGGAGCGAGAUUCGGCUGAGAUAGUCAAAUGGGAUUGUCAUGCCCGCCGUCUUAAUUAAGAAUGAUGGAGGAGACACGAAGCGAACGGGAGCAGCUAAACGUCGUAUCAAAUCACACUAAGUCCGCAGACGCAUCGUGAAACGCCCAAUGGAAGACAAAGUGGGUAAGGAUCUUCCGGGUGGAUGGACCAGGUCAUUUUUUCACAUCCUCGAUUCAACUCAUAGAGCCAGCGCCGAUCCUUGUAACAACUGUACUGCUCUGAUCUAUUUCCAUGCGUACCACACCCAGGUCGUCGUUUUAACGUCAUUCUCAGAGUUACCAACUACGGGCCACCGAGCAAGGGUUUCGAUCGACAUUUUUUUUUUUACCGGAAGACUUGUCGAAUUGCCUACCAACUUCCAUGGUCUACAUUAAUUUAUUAUCUCUCCGGAGCUAUUAAAUAACUUUUGCCAAUUUCUUUUUUUACUGUUAACGUGGAAGCACUGAAUUGUAAAUGCUCUUCCAUUGUCAAACACAUCUAUUGCUAUUCUAUGGAACGACGCUCUGGAGAACGCCUGCCUUUACAAGGGAUCCACUGGAGGACUGGUCCCAUUCAGGGGACGCCAGCCAGACCAGCCGACUAACCGUCCCGUCCCGUCCUCUUCGUCCGCUUCAUCUUCAUUCAUCAAAUGGCGCAUUCCACCAGUUGCACUGCUGCUACCGACGCCACUACCGUCAGGGCCACCAGUGCUGUUGCCGCCGAAGACAACGUGCAGGAUACUUCAACGACAAGGACGAGACCUAGCUACAAGGGAAAUCUGGAUGCUUUUCUCAGGACCUCAUGAUCUUACUAAUUUCUACGUCGCUUGCAGAAAUUGCAAUAACACGUGGAAGGUUCCUCGAUGAAAAAUAGGCACGCGCUUUAUUCUUAGCGAUCAGGUUCAAUCAUCUGCAAAAAGGGAAUUCACUGAUUGAGAAGAUGCAGGGUGUCCCGCGAUAACCUUGGACGAUGUGCUACACGGUAAUCGACUCUUCCGUACGGAUUUGCUCUACGCUGCUACCCAUCCUCGCUACCGGUUCCAGCUGCUGCCAGGAGUUCACGAGUGUCAAAGAGCGCACGAGAGUAACCAGUUGUACCUAUACGUUACCAUGCGACUGGUUAGCUAUACGUCUGGUGACUGCGAGGGAGGGAUGAUGCCGGUGGUUCCAGAGGAUGGUAAUGAUGAUUGUGGCGGUGAUGGUGAAUGAUGGUGGUGGAACCGUACCCGGUGUAUACAGGCGAGUGAAGACCGCGUGGGAGCCCCGGUAAUAGGCCCCGCCCUUUGCCAGAUGUCAUUACUCGUUAGAGGGCGCUGCGCGACUGCUGAACUCGCAAUUGCUCCAGGGACCAAGUGAAUUCGCGGUUCUUCGAGCGACGCGGGAUCAUCUCCGGCAUGCAUCACGACGCCUGGUGAUCCGCAUGCGCGACUGGCACCUGUUGCUGCUUCGUACGUCGACCGUGCGCGCUCAUCCGUGAUAUUGAAACUUUUUUACAUGAGGUUCCAACCACCUCCAAACCUCCCGCUGCUGCGCGAGACACGAUGGAUGAACUCUAGCUUGCAUCGUUGAUUCUUGAGUCCCGAUCGUACUCAGUUUCGCUGGACCGUAUCGCUGCUGACCUCAAGAUCUUGUACCAGGUACAAACGACGUUGGCGAAGCAUCAUGGUAACAUCCUGGCCUUGCGGAUAAUACCAAAAGACGAAUAAAAGGAAUUACUGCGCCGAGGAGGAGGGUCAUAGUCUGGCUGACUUGUUGCCUGCCUGAAGCCUGGUCUCUAUCCGCUAUCCUGAGAUAGGCGCGUACGCGUUAUGCGUCCAUGAAAUAUCGCCAAGGUUUUCCCGAUCUAAACGUCGCGGCGCACCUCAGCUUGGCCGUCCUGUAGAGAUCUCUGAACAGUGUGGGCGUCCUGACUGGACUAUACUCAAAACCUCAGCUCGCAAUCAACUUCAGGCUGGCUCUGUGCCUCGGCUCGAUACCUUGUAUCCCGCCCGAGCCUAUCCCAAAUCAGAAAGGAAGCAAAGGCACGGUCAUCUAGAGACCAGGUGUUCGGCUCAAGCCAAACGAUGGAUGGACGGAUGAACCAUUAGAUGGUUGAACGGCUGGUUGAAUGAAAGGAUGGUCACGUGCGUCGAUGAAUGACCAGAUAAGAGACUCUACGAUAAACUAAGCUUGCGCAAUUCUUUCCGAUGACUCCUCCGGUUCUCGGAACGGUAUCUGCACUUUAAAUCAUCGCGUUAGACACGCACGGAAACGCAUCCAAUACGCGAGUGAACUUAUGUACUACAUAUGAACUUAUUACGCGUACCAGGAAUAUAUGCCUGGCGCGAAAACUCGCAUGCGUUACCGAUACGGCGUCAUUUUAUCGGAGAACACAGUGCUGAGGGCAUAAACGGCCAAUCCGCGUGGGUUUGGAAUGUUCGGGGGCGCGAGCGAGUUUUGCGAGAAAACACGAGACUGACCGAGCAUUGCUGAACGUGACGGUGCAACGUAAGCCCAAAGCGAAUCGUGUAAUUAACUCAAGUCCCAACCCUGCCGGUACGCUGACUUUCGUAAAAAUGGCAAACGAGUUGCAGAGCCGCAUUGACACGACACGACCGGUGCAACCGCAGGCUAUUUAUAGAUAUUAUACUCGCUACGAACUGGCAUAGACUAUCCUCGACUCUUCUCACAAAUGAAAUCCCUGGUCACGCAAGCUCCUUGCACGGAUCGGACACUCUGUAUAUGCAAAUUGUAUGAACCUCGACAGAUCCUUCCUUGGCAAUUAUUACGGCUAUGCUAUGUGGAACACGGAUUACAGGCAUGUCGAGGAGAUUGUGAUUCCAGGAACCAAUGAAAGGAUUCUAAGCCUAAUGCACGCCUCUACUUCAGGAUCCUGGAACUGGCAAAAACCGGAACCAGAUAACCGUGGUUAGCAAGCAGUACGGAGUCGAUGCAAAUUUACUCAACGCCUUGGAGGAACACGCCGUGUAGAUCUGCACCGCGCGUGGGCGAGCAAGGAACGUCCAUCCUUCGCAGUGGCGACCAGUCCACCUCAGUCCACCUCCUGAACCGGCUGCCUCUUCUCAAGAGAAUCAAGCGCGACUUUCCAUAUUGAGUUUUAAAGCUGCGCACCUAGGCGAGAUGAUGUCGCUAGCGACGCUGUUGCUUUGCCAUUAUCGCCGUUGGUGGCGGUUGGCUCACGGCGCCUACACGUUGCACGCAGCCAGUUGCUAAACGAUAGUGCACCAUUAAGCAGCUUUCACAACUUUGUCCAGGUGCACGAGCUGAUCCGAUCAAUUAGAAUCAUGCUCCUUCGAUUGGUUUAUUCUGUCUGAUCAGACUGUGAUAACGCCUCGGGCACUCGUUAAUUUUUAGUUCUACUGUUUUACGAUUAAAAUAUGUUUUUAUAGCCUUUUACAACAGUAUAUGCAUUUCCGGGUGCAGUAGUUGACAUAAAAUUUAAGUGGCAGAUUGAUUAACGACCAAUCAAUUAUCUAGUAAAUUUUUAUUGAAGUUGAAAUUGAAGUAUCGCUUAACAUGGAAAUCAUGUAGGAACAACCGGACCUUAAUGGCCUAGGUCAAUAUGCUUUCUAAGCGAACGCUUAUUAGCUAAUAAUUACUGGCAUGUUAUUCUGAUAUAUACGACCUUUACGAUCUCCUUAGUACUAUGGUCAUAUGGUAUUAAAAAUGAAUACGAACAAAAACAACUUUAGUACGUACAGCCAACUGGGAGAUUACGUGUGUCGGAAUAUAUGAUAAUUCGCGUGACAUUAUUAAAUAUACGUAUGGUAAUGUAUGAUAAUUUAUGAAAAAUUUCAAAAGGACUGCAUGCAUGUGGGAGGAAUCUUAUGGAAUGAUUACUUUUUAUAAAUUUAGGGAUACGUUUGGCGCUUUUUAUAUAACACACGACGAACUGGAAUUAUAAUUAUGGCAGUGUCGACUGCUGAGGAGGAACCGGAAUUUAUUUAGAAUGAAAUUAUCUGAUUUUUUUUCCUUUUCAUUGUUUAUAUUUUUUAUUUAUUUGCAACUACGAAUUAAUAUAACUCUGUUAGAUGGCACUGCGUGCUUAUGUUUCCGGAAUACGCCCUCUUGGUCAAUUUUAUAUAAAGCUUCCUUACACUUGCAGAUUCUGGCCAGUUGGCAGCUGCUUAUUAUUAAGAUUUGAACAUUAUCAGUUCUACAAAGGAACAUGAUUAUUUAUAAAACUCCUAUUCACCGUCGGGAAAUUAGCGUCGAAUAAAUGUUUAUAUGUUUGUGAUGCAUAAACAAUUGCUUUUUAAAUGCUCUUUAUGUUUUCGUAGUUGCUCCGCUGCUAUUAUGCAAUGAUUAACAAAUAUUCUUUAAAAUAAAAACAUUUUUUUAUUGCUAUUCCAAAUAAUCAAACAGAGUUUUAUAUGAUUUUCUUGAUGAAUCAAUUGCUCUCGAUUUGCUCCGUUUUACUCCGCAAUUCGUUUUUUAUGUUAUGAAAGCAGCUUUAAAUAACAAGUAAAAAUUUUAUUUUCCCUUAGCUCGAUUGCAAGCGAAGAUGAGCUCAGAGUGCUGCGAGCAUCAUUGUCUCGAUUCAUUUUCGAACACAGGUGUAACACGCGCAGAAUUUACAGAAAAUGAACCAGUCGUGCAACGUUUGAGAAGAGGAACAUGAUUUUGGCGCUAACUUCCUGGCAAUGUCCUAUUCCAGUUGCGCGAUUACCGACAGGUGAUUGUUUUCAAGAUGGUAGACUGACUAAGGUCUUAGGAGUAUUUAUUUGUACUUUUUCUAAUUGUAUCGUGUGAGAAAAAUGACAAGCGAAACUGUGACAAUGAAUAUAAAUAAUUUAACACAUGACGAUGAUGAUGGUUGUGGUUGCAGAUUACACUGUUCUAAUCGCAUAAGUGAUGACAUGGUCAUGAGCUUCGUAAGGGACUUUAAGAAGCUUAAGACUAAGGACGAACAAGAUAUUUAUUUGCAAGGCCUUAUAGAAACAGAUUCAAUUAAACAACGAAAGCCCAGGAAACCUGUGCCUAAGAAACGGAGUAGUAAUUUUAAAUAUUAUGUGUACAACAGUGAUACUAGGAUACGUGUUUGAGAGAUACCAACAGAUAAACGAGGAAAAGUAACAAAAACAAGUAUGGAAGAGGAUGGAAAAUAGUGUCAAAGGACUAUUGAUUAUCUAGAUGAAUCAAUCUUUUGAAAUAAUGGUAUUUCUCUAGAAGCAUCUCGGUUUGAAAUCACCUAAACUAUAUUAAAAUCACUUGUAGAUAGACAGAUUCUUAAUUUGACAAUCAAUAGUUCUUUGAACUAAGGAAUAAAAUAAAGAUUCAGCAGUAUUGAAACUGAAGAUAGUCACUCGAAUCCAGAGAAAUUAAUAUAAACAAAUAAAUAUUAUAGAAUUAAUAUAUUUUAUAAAACAUUCAAGAAAUAGUUCACAAUAAUCUAUAUCUGACUGCUGUAAGCAUUGACAUAAAGAGAGAAAACUAUCUCAAGGAAAAAGUAAUAAUAUUUGUACAUCUUUGUAAAGAAGACACAUUGUCUAUUAACUGUACAACUUGGAACCUGAUUUGUUAUUGACAUACAAAUUUUCGGAAAUAAAUAGAAGACGUGGUAUCCCACAA